rnacentral:rRNA from 1 species
UAAGGAAUAUUGGUCAAUGGACGUAAGUCUGAACCAGCCAUGCCGCGUGAAGGAUGAAGGUCCUCUGGAUUGUAAACUUCUUUUAUCUGGGACGAAAACGGGAUUUUUAUCUCAAUUGACGGUACCAGAGGAAUAAGCACCGGCUAACUCCGUGCCAGCAGCCGCGGUAAUACGGAGGGUGCGAGCGUUAUCCGGAUUUACUGGGUUUAAAGGGUGCGUAGGUGGGCUUAUAAGUCAGUGGUGAAAUCUCCGAGCUUAACUUGGAAACUGCCGUUGAUACUAUAGGUCUUGAAUUAUCUGGAGGUAAGCGGAAUAUGUCAUGUAGCGGUGAAAUGCUUAGAUAUGACAUAGAACACCAAUUGCGAAGGCAGCUUACUACAUAUAAAUUGACGCUGAGGCACGAAAGCGUGGGGAUCAAACA